GACGAACCAUGCAAACGUUAUUCGGAUUCACUGGGCUUAAAGCGUGCGUAGGCGGUUUUGUUAGUCAGGCGUGAAAGCCCUCAGCCUAACUGAGGAAUUGCGCUUGAUACUGCAUGACUAGAGAAUGAUAGAGGUGGGUGGAACUGAUGGUGGAGCGGUGAAAUGCGUUGAUAUCAUCAGGAACACCAGUGGCGAAGGCGACCCACUGGGUCAUUUCUGACGCUGAGGUACGAAAGCUAGGGUAGCGAACGGG
rnacentral:rRNA from 1 species